UUGAAGCUACAGUUCUUUACAGAAUAGAGCCUCGAAGCUGCAGUUCUUUACAGAAAAGUGCCUCCUACACUUCAAGAACUUCUAAACACAAAGGAAGGUUUUUUAUUUUCAUAAUUAAUGAGUACCCUCUUUUAAUAAGAAAUUGCUCUUGACUAUCUAAAGUUGUGGUGUUUUUUUAUGGCAGUUGAUUGGGAGUUGUGAAUAAGAAAGACUAUUGUAGCUUCUAAGAGAGAAAGGCUUAUAAAAUUUGGGAGGAAAGAAGAAAUGAAAUCUCUUUGCAGCCAAGGCUGCAAUUCAACUCGCAAAGUGCGACUCUAUUAAGGCUGCUGCCCUCUUACAUCAAUCUUACGUCACUGUGGAUGACAUCAAAGAGGUUAAGGUUCCAUUGGCAGUACUUGGAGCAGAGUUUGACCAUCCAGAGAUUGUCAAACAAUUUGAGGAGCUCUGGAUUCUGACCAGUU